rnacentral:rRNA from 1 species
UACAGAGGGUGCGAGCGUUAAUCGGAAUUACUGGGCGUAAAGGGCGCGUAGGCGGUUGAAUAAGUUGGAUGUGAAAUCCCUGGGCUUAACCUAGGAACUGCAUUCAAUACUGUUUAACUAGAGUGUUGUAGAGGGUAGUGGAAUUUCCGGUGUAGCGGUGAAAUGCGUAGAUAUCGGAAGGAACACCAGUGGCGAAGGCGGCUACCUGGACAAACACUGACGCUGAGGCGCGAGAGCGUGGGUAGCAAACAGG